rnacentral:lncRNA from 1 species
GUCUCCUCAGUGUUACUCAUGCUGCCUCCAUCCCUGGUGCCCUCUCUGUAUCUCUGUGCCUUUGUGCACACUGCUUCCUCUGCCUGGAAGCCCUUCUUCCUUUCUCCACACAACACAUCCCUCCUUACUCAUUAAAGUCCCGUACAAAUGCUAAAGGCAGCUGAUCUUGUCAGCAAACUUGGCCACCAAAUAGAAAAUCUCCUUCUAUGCCCACUAGUCAUGGACAAAACUCAAAAGUUGCAUGGGAACUUCAGUUAUCGGGCAAUGUUACCAGGGUUUGGGGCAGAAGGAACAGAUAAAAGGGACAAUUCUAAGGAAGAUGAUUGAAAGACUGACCCCAAUGUGGAGAGGAUGAUUCCAGCACUACUCGUACUGCACUAGGAUCAGACAACUUGAAAUCUGCCUUUGCUUUUAUUGGGCAAUCUGUUCCAGGGAUCACAGCCCCUACCUGUAACUGUCACCUCUUUUGAGGUACAAUUACAUUCUUUCCUCUCAUCCCAUUGCAAUGUUUCCAUGCUGAGAGGGCUCCAGAGAGAUGUAGGGAAGCUCUGCUAGUCUCUGUGCUGAAGCUCAGUGCCUGGCAUACCUCUGCCUUUGAUGAGGCUCUGGCACAGCCCUGCAUCAUUCUUCAUUUGCCUGCGCAUUAAAGAAUGCCCCUGGUGGUCAUCAGAGCGCCUUGUGUCAGAGGCUUUGUCUACACCUCUCUGUGCCUAGGUUGCAAGCACAGCUUUGGAUUUUUUUUAUCCUCCUCUCAUGUACUGAUGUUCAAUUUGGGAAUGGGCAAGGACCUGGCA